GAUGAACGCUGACAGAAUGCUUAACACAUGCAAGUCCACUUGAACUUCGGUUUGGGUGGCGGACGGGUGAGUAACGCGUAAAGAACUUGCCUCACAGCUAGGGACAACAUUUGGAAACGAAUGCUAAUACCUGAUAUUAUGAUUUUAGGGCAUCCUAGAAUUAUGAAAGCUAUAUGCGCUGUGAGAGAGCUUUGCGUCCCAUUAGCUAGUUGGAGAGGUAACGGCUCACCAAGGCGAUGAUGGGUAGCCGGCCUGAGAGGGUGAACGGCCACAAGGGGACUGAGACACGGCCCUUACUCCUACGGGAGGCAGCAGUGGGGAAUAUUGGACAAUGGACCAAGAGUCUGAUCCAGCAAUUCUGUGUGCACGAUGAAGUUUUUCGGAAUGUAAAGUGCUUUCAGUUGGGAAGAAAAAAAUGACGGUACCAACAGAAGAAGUGACGGCUAAAUACGUG
rnacentral:rRNA from 1 species